rnacentral:lncRNA from 1 species
GGCGCUCUCGCCUCACGGCGGACGGCGCUAGGCGGAUGGCAACCACCGAGGCGCGUGGAGGGACGGCGCUUGACGGGCGAGGCGAGAGCGGCGGACGGCGCUUGACGGGCGAGGCGAGAGCGGCGGACGGCGCUCGGCGGGCGAGGCGAGGCGGCGCUCGGCGGGUGAGGCGAGAGCGGCGGACGGCGCUCGGCGGUCGAGGCGCUCGGCGGCGGCCGGGGCUCAGCGGGCGAGGCGAGAGCGCGGCGGAAGACGCUGGCGGGCGAGGCUUGCGGGUGAGGUGAGGAGGCGAGGCGCGUGCGUUCGCAGGAAGGUGGAGGGGAUCGAGGAGGGGAUGGCGGUGUCUGUUUGUUUCCAAGUACGGACGAUGCGCAGGCGUGGGCGCACGGCGUGGGGU